GUUUGUCUCUGACAUAGUUGAGGAAGAGUCUAUAACAUUAUGUAGGUUUGUCUCUGACAUAGUUGAGGAAUAGUCUAUAACAUUAUGUAGGUUUGUCUCUGACAUAGUUGAGGAAUAGUCUAUAACAUUAUGUAGGUUUGUCUCUGACAUAGUUGAGGAAUAGUCUAUAACAUUAUGUAGGUUUGUCUCUGACAUAGUUGAGGAAUAGUCUAUAACAUUAUGUAGGUUUGUCUCUGACAUAGUUGAGGAAUAGUCUAUAACAUUAUGUAGGUUUGUCUCUGACAUAGUUGAGGAAUAGUCUAUAACAUUAUGUAGGUUUGUCUCUGACAUAGUUGAGGAAUAGUCUAUAACAUUAUGUAGGUUUGUCUCUGACAUAGUUGAGGAAGAGUCUAUAACAUUAUGUAGGUUUGUCUCUGACAUAGUUGAGGAAUAGUCUAUAACAUUAUGUAGGUUUGUCUCUGACAUAGUUGAGGAAUAGUCUAUAACAUUAUGUAGGUUUGUCUCUGACAUAGUUGAGGAAGAGUCUAUAACAUUAUGUAGGUUUGUCUCUGACAUAGUUGAGGAAUAGUCUAUAACAUUAUGUAGGUUUGUCUCUGACAUAGUUGAGGAAGAGUCUAUAACAUUAUGUAGGUUUGUCUCUGACAUAGUUGAGGAAGAGUCUAUAACAUUAUGUAGGUUUGUCUCUGACAUAGUUGAGGAAUAGUCUAUAACAUUAUGUAGGUUUGUCUCUGACAUAGUUGAGGAAGAGUCUAUAACAUUAUGUAGGUUUGUCUCUGACAUAGUUGAGGAAGAGUCUAUAACAUUAUGUAGGUUUGUCUCUGACAUAGUUGAGGAAUAGUCUAUAACAUUAUGUAGGUUUGUCUCUGACAUAGUUGAGGAAGAGUCUAUAACAUUAUGUAGGUUUGUCUCUGACAUAGUUGAGGAAGAGUCUAUAACAUUAUGUAGGUUUGUCUCUGACAUAGUUGAGGAAUAGUCUAUAACAUUAUGUAGGUUUAUCUCUGACAUAGUUGAGGAAUAUUCUAUAACAUUAUGUAGGUUUGUCUCUGACAUAGUUGAGGAAUGGUCUAUAACGUUAUGUAGGUUUGUCUUGAUGGAUUGAUGGAAUAUGAUU